AUGUGGUUUAAUUCGAAGCAACGCGAAGAACCUUACCAGGGCUUGACAUGCCGCUGACCGGUGCAGAGAUGCAUCUUUACCCUUCGGGGUACAGCGGACACAGGUGGUGCAUGGUUGUCGUCAGCUCGUGUCGUGAGAUGUUGGGUUAAGUCCCGCAACGAGCGCAACCCUUGUCUUUAGUUGCCAUCAUUAAGUUGGGCACUCUAAAGAGACUGCCGAUGACAAAUCGGAGGAAGGUGGGGAUGACGUCAAAUCAUCAUGCCCUUUAUGUCCUGGGCUACACACGUGCUACAAUGGUCGGUACAACGAGAAGCAAGUCAGCGAUGGCAAGCAAAUCUCUAAAAGCCGAUCCCAGUUCGGAUUGCAGGCUGCAACUCGCCUGCAUGAAGUCGGAGUUGCUAGUAAUCGCGGAUCAGAAUGCCGCGGUGAAUGCGUUCCCGGGCCCUU
rnacentral:rRNA from 2 species